AACCAGCGGAGGGAUCAUUAGCGAGUUCACAGUGACUCCCAACCCGUGCAAACCUUACCGCAUACUUUCCGAGAGAGAGCGCCUGUUGCCUCCUGUCGGGCGGAGUGCCCCUUCCCUCCUUCCGGCUACGGAGGGGGUGGGACGGGCACCCGCCCGCCGGGGGCGCGGCGUGGCCCGCUCCCUCUCGUCUUGAACCUUCUUUACAGUAUACCUAUAAUGUCUGAGUAAAACCACAGAAUCGUUAAAACUUUCAACAACGGAUCUCUUGGUUCUGGCAUCGAUGAAGAACGCAGCGAACUGCGAUAAGUAAUGCGAAUUGCAGAAUUCAGCGAGCCAUCGAAUCUUUGAACGCACAUUGCGCCCGCCAGCAUUCUGGCGGGCAUGCCUGUCCGAGCGUCAUUUCCUCCCUCACGCAGCACGCCUGCGUGGUGUUGGGGCGUUCUGCGGCCCGGCUUGCGCCUAGCGUAUGCCGCCGCAGCCCCCGAAAGCCAGUGGCGGGCCGGCAGCGGGCUCCGAGCGCAGUAAGCAGCAGUGCCCUCGCUUUGGACGCCCCCGCCUGCGCCCUGCCCCCAUUUUGGCAGACGUAAGUCUGCCUCCUUCUCAAGGUUGACCUCGGAUCAGGUAGGACUACCCGCUGAACU
rnacentral:rRNA from 1 species